ensembl:snRNA U6 U6 spliceosomal RNA
GUGCUUACCUCAGCAUCACAUACACUAAAAUUGUAGUGAUACAGAGAAGAUUAGCAUGGCCCUGCUCAUGGAUGACAUUCAAAUUCAUGAAGUGUUCUAUAUUUUU